rnacentral:lncRNA from 1 species
CGCUAAAAAUAACCUGGGCAAGGGGCUGCCUGAGGGAGAAUGGGGUCCCUCCACAGAGCCUGCCCCCGUCUCCAUGGCAACUGCCCCAAACCCGACUGCUGACGUCAUGCCGCAGCUGCCAGAGCCGGGAGGGAGGCGCGGUGCGGCCUGGGACCCCCCACCCCGGAACCGGGCGGAGGCGGCUGGGUGGCCUCACUUCCUGCCGGCCCCCUCCCUGGUCAGCUGGUCACAUUCCCGGGACUGCCGCGCACUGGAAGCCCUGUGGCCUCCUCAGGCUGGGCCGGGCAGAGGCGCUAGUCCGAGCUGCAGCAGCGAGGGGCCGCAGUGACUCAGCCGCGUCCUCCCCUCCUGCUUUUCCACCCGGGAAGGACCCAGCCCAGCGGCCUGUGUGCUCCCCCCACCCCCACCCGUUUUCAGGUAUCCCUCUCCAGCUGCUGACCCACAAGCCCCAGGACAGGGAGGGAGGGCUGAAGUGGAAGCUAAGUCUCCUUGUCUCUCUGGACUGUCUUGUACCUUACUCUCAAGUCUCAUCUCUCCCUCCAACCCACACAUCUACCCUCUAUGCCACAGAAGUGGACAGUACAGGGGCAAGAAUUCAGAUCUGAGUCUAAUUCCCACCUCUCUCCAAACCAGCUGUGUGACCUUCAGAAUAUUACUUAAUCUCUCUGGACCCGUUUUUGCAUCUGCCAGAUUGUCUGUCAGUAAAUCUCUUCAGAAGGUUUGCAGAGUCACCACACUAGCCUCCCAUUUCCAGUUACAGGGUCUGUUAUCCCACCGUGUGGGGGCGAUUCUCUUGGGCUUGGCGGUGCUAGAUUUGGACGAAAAGCCCGGACCAAGAUCGGGAUCGGCUACUUCGGCUCUGGCUCCAAAGCGGCUUAGGCCGGCCGGUGAGGCCAGGAAGAUUAGCUCAUCUCCGAGGCGGGCCUUCAUGCCCUCUCCCCAUUCCCAGCUCGGUCUCUCCUUCGGCAAGGGCAGCGGGGCUCCCAGAAAGCAUCUGCCAGGGCCCAAGCUGGCGCCAAGGGCCCACCCUCAGGCCUGGCCCACCCCUGAGCCCCGGGCACCGGCCGCCUGGGCCUUGCCGUGGGAAGGAAGGAGGC